rnacentral:lncRNA from 1 species
UUCAAACAUCAAGUUCAUGUUAUGUUCUUUUCUUUGAGAUUCUAAGUUAUUUUCUAAACGCCUCUCAAUGAAGUGCGCUUUUCUUCUUGGGCUUUUUUGGUUUUGUAGUUGGAUUUGGAGAAUGUGUUGAUUGCAAGGAGAAUAACAUCAAGGCAAGCCAAGCAUUAUCAGGGUUAAAAGUGACCAUUGACUGCAAGCUUGAAGAUGGUAAAUUCCAAACAAGAGGUGUUGGAAAGCUUGAUGAGAAAGGACAAUUCAAGUUAAACCUUCCUCAAGAAAUCUUGAAAGACGAAAUGUUGAGUGAGGAAUGUUACGUGCAACUCCACAACGCAGCGAAUGCACCUUGUGCAUUUCACAAUGGGUUAGAAGCCUCUAAGAUCACUUUUGUGUCAAAGUCUAACCAAAAACACACCUUUGGACCCAUCGGAGAACUCAAAUUCUCUUCGGCAAUUUGCACUUCCGCCACCCUUUGGGGGUCGUACCCUAAGUCCCACCCUUGGUAUAAGAGGUUUCACCAUCAUUUCCAUCAUCCACCGGUUGUUGUUAAGCCCGAGCCCAAGCCAGAGCCUAAACCGGAGCCAAAACCAAAGCCAGAGCCCAAGCCGGAGCCAAAACCAAAGCCAGAGCCCAAGCCGGAGCCAAAAACAAAACCAGAGCCCAAGCAAGAGCCGAAAUCAAAGCAAAAGCAUAAGUCAGAGCACAAGCACAAGUCGGAGCAUAAGCACAACUCGGAGCCAAAACCAAAGCGAGACCCCAAGCCGGAGCCAAAACCAAAACCAGACCCCAAGCCGGAGCCAAAAUCUAAACCAGAGCCGAAGCA